rnacentral:rRNA from 1 species
CAGCCGCCACGGUAAUACGAAGGGGGCUAGCGUUGUUCGGAUUUACUGGGCGUAAAGCGCACGUAGGCGGAUCGAUCAGUCACGGGUGAAAUCCUGGAGCUCAACUCCAGAACUGCCUUUGAUACUGUCGAUCUCGAGUCCGGAAGAGGUGAGUGGAACUCCUAGUGUAGAGGUGGAAUUCGUAGAUAUUAGGAAGAACACCAGUGGCGAAGGCGGCUCACUGGUCCGGUACUGACGCUGAGGUGCGAAAGCGUGGGGAGCAAACAGGAUUAGAUACCCCCGUAGUCCCUGUCUCUUAUAC